UACGUAGGCAGCAAGCGUUGUUCGGAGUUACUGGGCGUAAAGGGUGUGUAGGCGGUUCUUUAAGUUUGCUGUGAAAUCUCCCGGCUUAACCGGGAGGGUGCGGUGAAUACUGAGGGACUAGAGUACGGGAGAGGAAAGUGGAAUUCCUGGUGUAGCGGUGAAAUGCGUAGAUAUCAGGAGGAACACCUGUGGUGUAGACGGCUUUCUGGACCGUAACUGACGCUGAGACACGAAAGCGUGGGUAGCAAACAGG
rnacentral:rRNA from 1 species